CCUACGGGUGGCAGCAGUGAGGAAUAUUGGUCAAUGGGCGGGAGCCUGAACCAGCCAAGUCGCGUGAAGGAUGACUGUCCUACGUAUUGUAAACUUCUUUUGUCGAGGAACAAAGUCAGACACGCGUCUCCUUCUGAAUGUACCCUAUGAAAAAGCAUCGGCUAACUCCGUGCCAGCAGCCGCGGUAAUACGGAGGAUGCGAGCGUUAUCCGGAUUUAUUGGGUUUAAAGGGUGCGCAGGCGGGGGGUCAAGUCAGGUGUGAAAUUUUGGGGCUCAACCCUAAGACUGCAGUUGAUACUGGUAGUCUAGAGUAGGGUAGAGGUAGGCGGAAUUCGUGGUGUAGCGGUGAAAUGCAUAGAUAUCACGAAGAACUCCGAUUGCGAAGGCAGCAUACCGGACUGAUACUGACGUUGAUGCACGAAAGCGUGGGGAUCGAACAGGAUUAGAUACCCCGGUAGUC
rnacentral:rRNA from 1 species